GCUGGGAUGCAGAGAGGAAGGAGGUGUACGAGAAGAGGCUCAUAGAGGAGGCUGCGGAAAAAGAGCACAAGGAAGAGGAGGAAAGGAGGCGGGUUGCUGCGAACAGGGAGGAGAGGGAGAAGAAGCUUGAGCGGGCACGCUGAGUGAAAGCAGCGGUUGAGGAGAAUCCCGAUGCCUUAAGGAGGGGAAAGUGGCCUCGUUGCACUCAGUAGUCAUAUUUAAGUUCUAGUUCUAUGGUUUAUUUAUGAACAAUAUUUUCUACUGUGAGACUUUUAUUAUGUUGUCAUGUAAUAAUGCACUUUAAGUAUGGACACACAAUUUGUAGACGACCUAUGUUUAUUUUGAGAUGUAAUGCAUUUCGAAGUCGUAGUCUAGUGAAAUUUCCGCAGAAAAUAAAAAAGGUACUUGUUAGCGAAAUUUCGGCAGAAUUUUCCCUACUUUUUGAUGCAAUCCAUACAAAAUUACGAGAUGAAUAGUGAAUAUAAAUACAAACAUACAAGCAUAGAAGCAUAUGAC
rnacentral:lncRNA from 1 species